rnacentral:lncRNA from 1 species
UUGGGGUUUAGACCUUGUCUGUUUAUGCUUUGUUCAUCUGCUGCCAAAACCACCGACCUAAUCCAAUUGUACUGUUUUGUGGAGCAGAUUUCUGGAGAGAAGAGGGAGCUCCACUACAUAGUGAAGAGGAGGAAGAGGCCACGAGGAACCCACCUUUUCUGUGGCCUGACAGCAGCGGCGUUCGACUGGAAGCGAGGCCGAUGGGCUGCUGAACUCUUUGGGUUUUCCUGAGGCUCCUCUUCCUGUUGGACACAAGGCGCUUUCUAUCAUCAUCAGACUUUAUGUUGUGGAAACACUUAUCCAGUCUCUGCUCAGUCUGUUUUCAACCACUUACCUCUGUCUUACUGUACAUGUCAUGGCUUUUCUCUUUAGCUUGAUUUCAAGCAGUUCAGUUUGUCCCCAACCACAAACGACACAUCUCACUGUUUGACUGAUCCAUUCUCCUGAUGUGGUGUAUCCGAGGUGUGCUCCUCCCCAUCAGUGCCUUCGCUAUCAGAACGUUUGGGUUUGAUGUGUAGGAUGUUGUAGCGUUGUGGUAAAUUUCUGAACUUGCCUGCUCUGUUUCAUUCUAUCAGCUGCUGACAAACGCCUGCAAUCCAAAACAAGUGUUUACAUUUCAUGUACGCUGGAGUCUAAAACCCGUGUUGCCUGCUGGUGUCUGAGCGUGUCCGUCCUAACCAGCAGUGAUCACACAUAUAUACCCUGAUCCUAGAGCUGUAAAUGCGGAGACCUUUUUCAUGCAGAGUAUUGGUGCAUCCACAGCAUGUUGGAGGUGAGAGCUGUUCUCUGUGACGUUGUGUCGCAGGUGUCAUGAUUAAAAGGAGCCCAGUUUCGUAGACCUCUGUGCUUUCUAUCAAAUCCCAAAACGUGUGGUAUUCAUCACCACUCAGGUUGAUAAGAUGCUCUUUAGCUCCGUUAGCAUCAACGUGCUCCUGCUGUGCCCCACUCCUCCUCUUUGCUUGAAGCAGUAGAAGCCAGGGUACCUUUAUUAAAUGGCCGGAAAUUUAGUCAUUUCUUGUUGAAAAAUAUAAUUUUGAUCCAGAUAUAUUCUUGGUUACUAAGGAUGUAUAUUGUUAGUAAAAAGUCAAAACAGACACUUUCAGAAACUAAGCCUACAUAGCACAACGAUCUAAAGUCUAAAGCUAAGCCACCAGCAGUAAUCUAUGACACAACCAGGAAAAUCAGUUCAAACUUUACUGUCUUACAUGACUUAAAUGAUAUUUUUUGUAAA